rnacentral:rRNA from 1 species
GAUGAACGCUGGCGGCGUGCCUAAUACAUGCAAGUCGAGCGAACGGACGAGAAGCUUGCUUCUCUGAUGUUAGCGGCGGACGGGUGAGUAACACGUGGAUAACCUACCUAUAAGACUGGGAUAACUUCGGGAAACCGGAGCUAAUACCGGAUAAUAUUUUGAACCGCAUGGUUCAAAAGUGAAAGACGGUCUUGCUGUCACUUAUAGAUGGAUCCGCGCUGCAUUAGCUAGUUGGUAAGGUAACGGCUUACCAAGGCAACGAUGCAUAGCCGACCUGAGAGGGUGAUCGGCCACACUGGAACUGAGACACGGUCCAGACUCAUACGGGAGGCAGCAGUAGGGGAUCUUCCGCAAUGGGCGAAAGCCUGACGGAGCAACGCCGCGUGAGUGAUGAAGGUCUUCGGAUCGUAAAACUCUGUUAUGAGGGAAGAAAAAAUGUGUAAGUAACUGUGCACAUCUUGACGGUACCUAAUCAGAAAGCCAAGGCUAACUACGUG